GGGGGAGCAGCCCUUUCAAAUGGGUGAUCGGUGGGUGGUGCACUUUCUAGCUGAGCCCCCAGGGACAAGAGGAAACCAGCCAUACCAAGAGCUGGGCAAGACCACUCUGGGCAGAGGGAAUGGAAGGUGUGAAACUCCUGGAGUUGAAAUGAACUGGAGAAACAGAAAGCUGUUGUUGGAACUUAGUAAAUGAGGGAGAGUUCGUAGCAAGAGGUUCUUAUUCUGGGGGUCCGGGAGGGGUUUUAAUAUCAAUGGACCACUUGUCAUUCUCUGCAAAAGAUGGUUAUCUGGGCAUGUCAUUUGGCCCCUGGAUUACAUCACUCCAAAGGAGUUAGCAAGCCCAUCUGGCCUGCAGGAGAGAAGGGGACAUUGAAAGGGGAGUGGCCAUUCAUAUUUACAUGCCCAUGAUAUGCAUCGUUGAAACUAACACCCCUCCCAAAAUAGACAAGAGUAGAGAUGGUGCUCAGAGAGGACAAGCAACUUGCCCAGGGCCACACAGCCUGGACUUGAACCCAGUCUGUCCUUCCCCCCAAUUCCCUGCACCACAGUGAGUCAGCAGAAAGACUGUACUUGGAUCUUAGGUCCUCUGCUUCUGGGUUCUUCUGACUUUCUUGAAGAAAACCAGAAUGUCUUCUUCAUCCAUGGCCCCAUGAUAUAUUGUGGCGGGGGGAGGAGGCGUUGGAGAGGUCGUGAGUUUUUGCAGACUGGUGAAUUGUCUGCAAAAUAUUGUGUCUUGGUGUUUUUAGUGGGGAGCAGAGCUGUGCUUCCAUGAUCUUCUCUAAAGAGCAUUUGACACCCUAAUGAUUAAGAACUUCAAAGUCUUCUGGGGGCAAAUAGAAAAUUGUCUGCCUCCUGUCCCCCUUGCAUCUCUCCUUAAAUGCAUGGCCAUGAUUUGUCUGCAGCUUCUGUCUCUGGGAUCCUGCUAACCUCUCCGCACACCCUCCUCUUGGGGCAUGGAGGCAGCAGGUAGGUAGGAAGGAGGUCUAGGUACUCAUCCAGUUUGUAACUCUAACCAUGUGACCUUGGCAAGUCCCAGUCUCCAUCAUGGAGGACACUUGGUGGCAAAGGACAAAAUGUUCAACUCUAGCUGGCUGAAAUAACAGAAGGAUAAUCAGCAUAUAUACUUUGACGUUAAGGGUCAGGCUGCAGGUGUGGCUGGAUCCAGACAGGAGAUUAGUGGUUGCUGGGGGCUGAGGAGGGAAUGGGAGUGACUGCUAAGGGCAUAGGGUUUCCUUUGGCAUUGAAGAAUAUGUCCUGGAAAAACUAGAGGUGAUAAUUGUUCUACAUUGGGAAGGUUCUAGAUGCCUCUGAAUUGUACCCUUUACCAUGGUUAAUGGUUAGUUUUAUGUUAUGUGAAUUUUACCUUAAUUAAAAUUUAAUAAAAUCUCCCAGAGUCACACUUGGCUGGUGUUAGGUCAUUCCUCUCCUCCCCUCUCAACCAAUCCCAGUAGCCAGAAGGACGCAGCCCUUUGACUGGCUGGGCUUGGGCACGUGCUUCCUCUGUGGAGGGAGGGGAGCCUCACUCUGGCUAUGGGUCUGAAUAGGGAGAAGAGGGAGCCAGUCACAGUUUAAUUCCUCUCAAACCUUAUGCCCUGUCAUGAGUUGGUAUCCUCCCAGAAAGGCUGACAGUUGAAAACUCACACAAAGGUGACAUAUGGGCUCACAUUAGCACUGGAGGGAGCCCUCAAAUCAGGAACUAUUGCCAAAAAAAUGGGGGGAGGAUGAUGCUCAGAGGGAGAGAAUCACAAAUGUCCAGUGUAGUGCCCUUUUCUAGGGGGAAAAGCUUUGUUGCACAUAUUUUUGGUCUGCUCCAAAGCCAUUCCUAUCCCCCCAUUGCCUAUGGGAUAAGGGUCUAGUGCCUCACUGUGAUAUUCAAGGUCUGCUCUGAGUUGACAUUAAUCUGGGGUAGGUCUGCAACACCCCACUAGGCUCAGUUUGGUCUUAUUCAGUAUCACUCUUUGUGGCUAUCAGGAAACUAGGAGGUACAAGGAACAUGCUGGAAGCCAGAAAGAGGAUUUAAAAAAUAAAAAAUCUGGAAAGUCUGAACCAUCAAAAGGUGAAAUGUAGGAGAAAUAAAUGCCCAAGUCCUCCCUUUGGGUGCAAAUAAACUGAGUCACUAGAGGGCGGUAGAGACCUAACGUCACAGUUAGUUACAGCCGGGAAGCUAGACUCCCCAAGUCCAAAAUGUUACUUUCUAGUCGGUGGGGCUUGUGUAUCAAUUUCAUCAUUUGUAACAUCAGGAUAACAUGUAGCAAUCAUGCAUUCUGGCAAAUGCUCAAUUUACUAUUUACUUUUUGUUUCUUUGAAUCUACUGCCUUUGCUGGCACUAAGUUAUUUAAAUAGGAAACAUUGUGUCACUUCCAGAAGAUCAAAAAUAACCACAAAACUAGAUACAGUAACAGCAAAAAGUGUUAUUAACUGCAGCUCAGUGAUUCUCUCUUUCCUUUUUUUUUUUUUUUGUCUGUGCCUGAAGCAUGUGGAAAUUCCCCAGUCAGGGAUUGAACACUCUCCACAGGAGUGACCCUGGUGGUGACAACGCCAAAUCCUUAAUCCGAUGUAGGUCACAGAUGCGGCUCCGAUCCCGUGUUACUGUGACUCUGGCAUAGGCUAGUGGCUACAGCUCUGAUUUGACCCCUAGCCUGGGAACUUCCAUAUGCCACAGGAGCGGCCCAAGAAAUGACAAAGAAGGAAAGAAAGAAAGAAAGAAAGAAAGAAAGAAAGAAA
rnacentral:lncRNA from 1 species